AUUGAACGCUGACGGCAUGCCUUACACAUGCAAGUCGAACGGCAGCACGGGGCAACCUGGUGGCGAGUGGCGAACGGGUGAGUAAUGCAUCGGAACGUACCUUUCAGUGGGGGAUAACGUAGCGAAAGUUACGCUAAUACCGCAUAUUCUGUGAGCAGGAAAGCAGGGGAUCGCAAGACCUUGCGCUGAUUGAGCGGCCGAUGUCAGAUUAGCUAGUUGGUGAGGUAAAGGCUCACCAAGGCGACGAUCUGUAGCGGGUCUGAGAGGAUGAUCCGCCACACUGUAACUGAGACACGGUCCAGACUCCUACGGGAGGCAUCAGUGGGGAAUUUUGGACAAUGGGGGCAACCCUGAUCCAGCCAUGCCGCGUGAGUGAAGAAGGCCUUCGGGUUGUAAAGCUCUUUCGGCCGGGAAGAAAUCGCACGGGCUAAUACCCUGUGUGGAUGACGGUACCGGAAUAAGAAGCACCGGCUAACUACGUGCCAGCAGCCGCAGUAA
rnacentral:rRNA from 1 species